rnacentral:lncRNA from 10 species
GAAAAAUCAAUUAAAAUGGGAAAUGGGAUGAGGUGCUUUUUUUUCUGAAGCUUUGGUAGUGUAACUGUAAGAGUCCUGGAAUUGGAAAAGCAAAUCCAGAAGUUGAGUUCCAUGACUUUUUUGCUGUUUGCCUUUGGACUUGCAUCAUUUAUAUUUUUAAUUCAUCGAGGAUGAGAAAAUUGAUUAACACAAAAUCUUUUCAUGUCUUUUCUGAUGAGAGACUAGCUGAAUCCAAGAAGAGAAGCCCUUGAAGAGUGUAUUCUAUUCUAGACAAGCAUUCACACAUUGGCUUCUUUGGUGCCAGCAUGUUUCUGAUCAGCAUGAAAACUGCGCAGGAGCUUUUCUGUCUUGCAGAGCUAGUUAAUGAGAUUGUUGCUGCCUUCAGAUUCUAUAAAGGACUUCUCCAAUAUUGGAUUAAAGAAUGAAGAAAGGAUCAAAUUGAGACAUCCAGGGGGGAAGAGUUCCCUGGCAAAACUCCAAUCUGCCUGAGCACUGAGGUGGAGCCACAGAAGUCCGGGUCAUUUGCACCUGGGAGGAGCCUGGCCCCUCCUCUUCCUGUGUGGAAUCUGGGAUUUAAUCUGUGAGGAGGGAAGGCCAAG